GACGAACGCUGGCGGCGUGCUUAACACAUGCAAGUCGAACGGAAAGGCCCUGCUUUUGUGGGGUGCUCGAGUGGCGAACGGGUGAGUAACACGUGAGUAACCUGCCCUUGACUUUGGGAUAACUUCAGGAAACUGGGGCUAAUACCGGAUAGGAGCUCCUGCUGCAUGGUGGGGGUUGGAAAGUUUCGGCGGUUGGGGAUGGACUCGGGGCUUAUCAGCUUGUUGGUGGGGUAGUGGCUUACCAAGGCUUUGACGGGUAGCCGGCCUGAGAGGGUGACCGGCCACAUUGGGACUGAUAUACGGGCCAGACUCCUACGGGAGGGAGCAGUGGGGAAUAGUGCACAAUGGGCGGAAGCCGGAUGCAGCAACGCCGCGUGCGGGAUGACGGCCUUCGGGUUGUAAACCGCUUUCGCCUGUGACGAAGCGUGAGUGACGGUAAUGGGUAAAGAAGCACCGGCUAACUACGUG
rnacentral:rRNA from 1 species